AUUGAACGCUGGCGGCAUGCCUUACACAUGCAAGUCGAACGGUAACAGGUCUUCGGAUGCUGACGAGUGGCGAACGGGUGAGUAAUACAUCGGAACGUGCCUAGUAGUGGGGGAUAACUACUCGAAAGAGUGGCUAAUACCGCAUGAGAUCUACGGAUGAAAGCAGGGGAUCGCAAGACCUUGUGCUACUAGAGCGGCCGAUGGCAGAUUAGGUAGUUGGUGGGAUAAAAGCUUACCAAGCCGACGAUCUGUAGCUGGUCUGAGAGGACGAUCAGCCACAAUGGGACUGAGACACGGCCCAGACUCCUACGGGAGGCAGCAGUGGGGAAUUUUGGACAAUGGGCGCAAGCCUGAUCCAGCCAUGCCGCGUGUCUGAAGAAGACCUUCGGGUUGUAAAGGACUUUUGUCCGGGAGCAAAUGCCUGGUGUUAAUAGCACUGGGAGCUGAGAGUACCGGAAGAAUAAGCACCGGCUAACUACGUGCCAGCAGCCGCCGUAAGAC
rnacentral:rRNA from 1 species